rnacentral:tRNA from 1 species
AAGGCUUUAUCUUAAUAAAAGAGUCUGAUUUGCAUUCAGAAGAUGAAGGCUAGUUGCUUUCAAGUCUUA